GACGAACGCUGGCGGCGUGCCUAAUACAUGCAAGUCGAACGCACAGUUUAUACCGUAGCUUGCUACACCAUAGACUGUGAGUUGCGAACGGGUGAGUAACGCGUAGGUAACCUGCCUGGUAGCGGGGGAUAACUAUUGGAAACGAUAGCUAAUACCGCAUAAUAUUCAUUAUUGCAUGAUAAUUAAUUGAAAGGUGCAAUUGCACCACUACCAGAUGGACCUGCGUUGUAUUAGCUAGUAGGUGAGGUAACGGCUCACCUAGGCGACGAUACAUAGCCGACCUGAGAGGGUGAUCGGCCACACUGGGACUGGGACACGGCCCAGACUCCUACGGGAGGCAGCAGUAGGGAAUCUUCGGCAAUGGACGAAAGGCUGACCGAGGAACGCCGCGGGAGUGAAGGAGGUUUUCGGAUCGUAAAGCUCUGUUGUAAGAGAAGAACGGGUGUGAGAGUGGAAAGUUCACGCUGUGACGGUAUCUUACCAGAAAGGGACGGCUAACUACGUG
rnacentral:rRNA from 1 species